GGCCCUAGCACAGGUGCUGCAUGGCCGUCGUCAGCUCGUGCCGUGAGGUGUUGGGUUAAGUCCCGCAACGAGCGCAACCCCCGCCGUUAGUUGCCAGCGGUUCGGCCGGGCACUCUAACGGGACUGCCCGCGAAAGCGGGAGGAAGGAGGGGACGACGUCUGGUCAGCAUGGCCCUUACGGCCUGGGCGACACACGUGCUACAAUGCCCACUACAAAGCGAGGCCACCCGGCAACGGGGAGCUAAUCGCAAAAAGGUGGGCCCAGUUCGGAUUGGGGUCUGCAACCCGACCCCAUGAAGCCGGAAUCGCUAGUAAUCGCGGAUCAGCCAUGCCGCGGUGAAUACGUUCCCGGGCCUU
rnacentral:rRNA from 1 species